ACGGAAGGCAGCAGUGGGGAAUAUUGCACAAUGGGGGAAACCCUGAUGCAGCAACGCCGCGUGAAGGAAGACGGUCUUCGGAUUGUAAACUUUUGUUCUUAGUGAAGAUAAUGACGGUAGCCAAGGAGGAAGCCACGGCUAACUACGUGCCAGCAGCCGCGGUAAUACGUAGGUGGCAAGCGUUGUCCGGAUUUACUGGGUGUAAAGGGAGCGCAGGCGGGACAGCAAGUUGGGUGUGAAAUACCGAGGCUUAACCACGGAGCUGCAUCCAAAACUGUUGUUCUUGGGUGAAGUAGAGGUAGGCGGAAUUCCGAGUGUAGCGGUGAAAUGCGUAGAUAUUCGGAGGAACACCAGUGGCGAAGGCGGCCUACUGGGCUUUAACUGACGCUGAGGCUCGAAAGUGUGGGGAGCAAACAGGAUUAGAUACCCUGGUA
rnacentral:rRNA from 1 species